rnacentral:rRNA from 1 species
GACGAACGCUGGCGGCGUGCUUAGCACAUGCAAGUCGAACGGUAAGGCCCUUCGGGGUACACGAGUGGCGAACGGGUGAGUAACACGUGGGUGAUCUGCCCUGCACUUCGGGAUAAGCCUGGGAAACUGGGUCUAAUACCGGAUAGGACCACUGCCUGCAUGGGUGGUGGUGGAAAGCUUUUGCGGUGUGGGAUGGGCCCGCGGCCUAUCAGCUUGUUGGUGGGGUGAUGGCCUACCAAGGCGACGACGGGUAGCCGGCCUGAGAGGGUGACCGGCCACACUGGGACUGAGAUACGGCCCAGACUCCUACGGGAGGCAGCAGUGGGGAAUAUUGCACAAUGGGCGCAAGCCUGAUGCAGCGACGCCGCGUGAGGGAUGACGGCCUUCGGGUUGUAAACCUCUUUCAGCACCGACGAAGCGCAAGUGACGGUAGGUGCAGAAGAAGGACCGGCCGACUACGUGCCAGCCGCCGCAGUAA